rnacentral:rRNA from 1 species
AAGUCGAACGAGUUCUCGUUGAUGAUCGGUGCUUGCACCGAGAUUCAACAUGGAACGAGUGGCGGACGGGUGAGUAACACGUGGGUAACCUGCCCUUAAGUGGGGGAUAACAUUUGGAAACAGAUGCUAAUACCGCAUAGAUCCAAGAACCGCAUGGUUCUUGGCUGAAAGAUGGCGUAAGCUAUCGCUUUUGGAUGGACCCGCGGCGUAUUAGCUAGUUGGUGAGGUAAUGGCUCACCAAGGCGAUGAUACGUAGCCGAACUGAGAGGUUGAUCGGCCACAUUGGGACUGAGACACGGCCCAAACUCCUACGGGAGGCAGCAGUAGGGAAUCUUCCACAAUGGACGCAAGUCUGAUGGAGCAACGCCGCGUGAGUGAAGAAGGCUUUCGGGUCGUAAAACUCUGUUGUUGGAGAAGAAUGGUCGGCAGAGUAACUGUUGUCGGCGUGACGGUAUCCAACCAGAAAGCCACGGCUAACUACGUGCCAGCAGCCGCGGUAAUACGUAGGUGGCAAGCGUUAUCCGGAUUUAUUGGGCGUAAAGCGAGCGCAGGCGGUUUUUUAAGUCUGAUGUGAAAGCCCUCGGCUUAACCGAGGAAGCGCAUCGGAAACUGGGAAACUUGAGUGCAGAAGAGGACAGUGGAACUCCAUGUGUAGCGGUGAAAUGCGUAGAUAUAUGGAAGAACACCAGUGGCGAAGGCGGCUGUCUGGUCUGUAACUGACGC